UACAGAGGUCUCAAGCGUUGUUCGGAUUCAUUGGGCGUAAAGGGUGUGUAGGUGGCGCCGUAAGUCGGGUGUGAAAUCUCGGGCUUAACUCCGAAACUGCAUUCGAUACUGCGGUGCUUGAGGACUGGAGAGGAGACUGGAAUUCAUGGUGUAGCAGUGAAAUGCGUAGAGAUCAUGAGGAAGACCAGUGCGAAGGCGGGUCUCUGGACAGUUCCUGACACUGAGACACGAAGGCCAGGGGAGCAAACGGG
rnacentral:rRNA from 1 species